rnacentral:rRNA from 1 species
AAGCAUAUCAAUAAGCGGAGGAAAAGAAACCAACAGGGAUUGCCUCAGUAACGGCGAGUGAAGCGGCAAAAGCUCAAAUUUGAAAUCUAGCACUUUCAGUGUUCGAGUUGUAAUUUGAAGAAGGUAACUUUGGUUUUGGCUCUUGUCUAUGUUCCUUGGAACAGGACGUCACAGAGGGUGAGAAUCCCGUGCGAUGAGAUGCCCAAUUCCAUGUAAAGUGCUUUCGAAGAGUCGAGUUGUUUGGGAAUGCAGCUCUAAGUGGGUGGUAAAUUCCAUCUAAAGCUAAAUAUUGGCGAGAGACCGAUAGCGAACAAGUACAGUGAUGGAAAGAUGAAAAGAACUUUGAAAAGAGAGUGAAAAAGUACGUGAAAUUGUUGAAAGGGAAGGGCUUGAGAUCAGACUUGGUAUUUUGCGUUCCCUUCCUUUUUGGUUGGGUUCCUCGCAGUUUACUGGGCCAGCAUCGGUUUGGAUGGUAGGAUAAUGACAUUGGAAUGUAGCUUUACUUCGGUGAAGUGUUAUAGACUUUGUUGAUACUGCCUAUCUAGACCGAGGACUGCGUCUUUGACUAGGAUGCUGGCGUAAUGAUCUUAAGCCGCCCGUCUUGAAACACGGACCAAGGAGUCUAACGUCUAUGCAAGUGUUUGGGUGUAAAACCCGUACGCGUAAUGAAAGUGAACGUAGGUGAGAGCCUUUUAGGUGCAUCAUCGACCGAUCCUGAUGUCUUCGGAUGGAUUUGAGUAAGAGCAUAGCUGUUGGGACCCGAAAGAUGGUGAACUAUGCCUGAAUAGGGUGAAGCCAGAGGAAACUCUGGUGGAGGCUCGUAGCGGUUCUGACGUGCAAAUCGAUCGUCGAAUUUGGGUAUAGGGGCGAAAGACUAAUCGAACCAUCUAGUAGCUGGUUCCUGCCGAG